rnacentral:rRNA from 1 species
CCUCGGGAGGCAGCAGUGUAGGAAUAUUGGACAAUGGUCGAAAGACUGAUCCAGCCAUGCCGCGUGCAGGAUGAAUGCCCUAUGGGUUGUAAACUGCUUUUAUACGGGAAGAACACCACCCACGUGUGGGUGACUGACGGUACCGUAAGAAUAAGGACCGGCUAACUCCGUGCCAGCAGCCGCGGUAAUACGGAGGGUCCAAGCGUUAUCCGGAAUCAUUGGGUUUAAAGGGUCCGUAGGCGGGCUAUUAAGUCAGAGGUGAAAGUUUGCAGCUCAACUGUAAAAUUGCCUUUGAUACUGGUAGUCUUGAGUUAUAGUGAAGUGGUUAGAAUAUGCGGUGUAGCGGUGAAAUGCAUAGAUAUCACAUAGAAUACCAAUUGCGAAGGCAGAUCACUAACUAUAUACUGACGCUGAUGGACGAAAGCGUGGGGAGCGAACGGGAUUAGAUA